UGGGGAAUAUUGCACAAUGGAGGGAACUCUGAUGCAGCAACGCCGCGUGCGGGAUGACGGCCUUCGGGUUGUAAACCGCUUUCAGCCAUGACGAUGCUUUUGUGACGGUAGUGGUAGAAGAAGCACCGGCUAACUACGUGCCAGCAGCCGCGGUGAUACGUAGGGUGCGAGCGUUGUCCGGAAUUAUUGGGCGUAAAGAGCUUGUAGGCGGUUUGUCGCGUCGAUAGUGUAAACACGCAGCUUAACUGUGUGCCUGCUGUCGAUACGGGCUGACUAGAGGAGGGUAGGGGGGAAUGGAAUUCCCUGUGGAGCGGUGGAAUGCGCAGAUAUCGGGAGGAACACCAGUGGCGAAGGCGGUUCUCUGGACCUUUCCUGACGCUGAGAAGCGAAAGCGUGGGUAGCAAACAGG
rnacentral:rRNA from 1 species